UUUUAAAACAUUUUUUAAAACUUUUAUUUAAUUAAUUUGAGAGAGAGAGAGAGCAUGAGCAGGGGAGGGGCAGAGAGAGAUGGGGAGAGAGAGAAUCCCAAGCAGGCUCCAAGCUGUCAGCGCAGAUCCAGAUGUGGGGCUAAGACUCACAAACCAUGAGAUCAUGACCUGAGCUGAAACCAGAAGUUGGACCCUUAACCACCUGGGCCACCCAGGUGCCCCUUUAAGUUGAACUUUUAAUUUCAGUGUCCCCUGAAUUUCAGAUGUGAGUUCCUGGAAGGUAUGACUCCACAGGGAAGCUUGUCGCCAAGGCCUGUGUGGUGUGUCUGCUGCCAUCAAGCGAUGAGGGACUUUGGGAAAAUCUCCUCAUCUCUCUGGGCCUCAGUUUCUUCGUCUGCAACAUAAGGUUGUUAUUCAACUUCUGCAAAGUCCCUUGCCGCUCAGUCUCUCUGAGAGCACGAGGGACUGAGGUGCCUGUUAAACGUGUCCUGGGGACUGGGGCUGAGACCUGACUUGGUCCCUUGUCUGUGUGUCUCCUGCAGGAGCCCGGCUGAGCCCACACUGGAAACAGAGGACCGAGGGGUCUAUGGAAGACAGAAAACCAGCAGGUGUGGAGCAUGAGAAUAACCCGGAGAAGGACAAAGCAUGGAGCUUCCGGAAGCUGAAAAGAAGGAAGUCCUCCAGGACACGCUGAAUGAAUGUGUUUUGACUCCUUCCAUUGGCCAAGAAGGGCGUGACUGCUACCAGCCUUACAGGGAUGGCACGUUCCCAUCGGAUAAACAGGAAUUCGGCUCUGCUCUGGAUGUAGCCUGUGAAUGCUCCCAUUCCAAAGGGGAUGAAACUCCACCUGGUUCCCCAGCAAGGCAGGGCCCUGGAACUUCCCGACCCCAUGAACGGCCCCAGGUUCUCUGCAGCUUUGAAGAUUAUUUUGAUUUGAUGGUGUGUAGAUUCCAAUCGUCAGUUUAAUCUCAACAGCUGAUUCCUCAAAACCAUUGACCUUCAGAGUUUCAAAUGGAAAAAGCCUGAACAUUGCAGCAAUGCUCUAGGAAGCAGCCAGGUCCUUCCCCAGGAUCUCUGGGAAAAGGGAUACAUUUUCUGGGUGUGUAGACCUGUCUUAGGAUAUUGUGAUGAUGGCCUGUCAUAUCAGGGACAUUUAUUUGCUCAAGAAAGCAAUCCCAGUGAUUUUUUCCAGGGCUCUACUGAAUCCCUCCUGAAUGACUUCUCUCACAAUUACCUGUUAUUACUCUGCUUAUAUUUCUGUCCUGUGCUACAUGAGUGAGCAUUUGUGGAGAGGAAUCUGCUUAAUGGAACUCUUUCUCCACCUUAUUUGCAGCAAACAAAAUUGAACACAAGGGGCUUACCAGCAAGCUGUGUGUGGGAACCCAUUCAGUCCUCACAGGGACACUCCCCACAGGUGUGCACGUCCUGUGAGAGCGGAGAGUGCUGAGACUCAGAAAGGUCACUCCACUUUCCCAAGACCCCCGGCCAGUGCGCAGUGGGACAUCAGACCCUCAUCAGCUCAGGCUCUGUCCUCUGCUCUCCACUCGGUCCUGUCAGGGACUAAAUGGGGAUGGUGCUCACCCUUUCCUCUUUGCUUUUGUACCAAAUUAUUUGAAACAGUUAUAAAUGUAAAGAGAACAGUUGUGAGAUGCCCCAAAGACCCCUGUGACCCUGCAGGACUGCCAGCUCCUACCCAGUCAGUGCACUUUGUGGUGUGAGCAGAGCCAGGGCUCAUCCAGCCCCUCCAGGAGCUCAAGGUCUCCAGGAGACACUCCAUGAAAAGCAAUCAGGGCUGAGAGGUCCCAGACGAUUUCUGUUCUCACUAGGGGUCCCAUGGUGGCUCUUCACUUGGCUGCCUGGCACCCUGGUAACCCUGCAGAGCUCUGUGUCAGAGACACUGACAGCCAGGUCUGGGUUUCCAUGGGGGCAGGGAUGGGAAAGGUUAAGACGCGUCUCAGGAGGGUGAUGUGUGUGACAUGGUCUUGCAUUAAGCCUGGGCCAUGAGAAGCUAUGAGGAUGGGCGGAGAUGAAUGAAGGCAGCGUCUCCAUUAUGCACAGCCCGUCCCCGGUGCAGGUUCUGGUGGGAACGUGGGAACAGUGUGUGUGGGCUGUGAUUUCCACAGGGGAGCUGCAGGAGUGCUGCCGUGCCCCAUCCUCCCUGCACAGGGACCGGCAUUGGAGAAACAGCUGAAUCACAACCUACAUUCCAAACUCAUCUUUUAUCCAGGGAUUUUCCCCACCUGCCAAACUAAUUAUAUUGGGCAAUACUUCAGAAGUUUGAUAAAAUGUUUUCCCUUUUCUCCUGCAAGUGCAUGGGUAUUAUAAGCAUACAUUUAAUACUGCCUGGUAGUUGAGAAAAGAGCAAUAAAAUGCCAUGAGGAAAUUAGGAGUGAUAAUUU
ensembl:lncRNA